rnacentral:rRNA from 1 species
GACGAACGCUGGCGGCGUGCCUAAUACAUGCAAGUUGAGCGCUGAAGGUUGGUACUUGUACCUCCUGGAUGAGCAGCGAACGGGUGAGUAACGCGUGGGGAAUCUGCCUUUGAGCGGGGGACAACAUUUGGAAACGAAUGCUAAUACCGCAUAACAACUUUAAACACAUGUUUUAAGUUUGAAAGAUGCAAUUGCAUCACUCAAAGAUGAUCUCGCGUUGUAUUAGCUAGUUUGUGAGGUAAAGGCUCACCAAGGCGAUGAUACAUAGCCGACCUGAGAAGGGGAUCGGCCACAAUGGGACUGAGACACGGCCCAAACUCCUACGGGGAGGAGCAGGAGGGAAUCUUCGGAAAUGGACGAAAGGCUUAACGAGGAACGCCGCGGGAGUGAAGAAGGUUUUCGGAUCGUAAAACUCUGUUGGUAGAGAAGAAAGUUGGGGAGAGUGGAAAGCGCAUCAAGUGACGGUAACUACCCAGAAAGGGACGGCUAACUACGUG